AAGAGAACUGCCUCCGGGCUAAUCUCCCACCCUUUGUUUACAUUACCUUUGUUGCUUUGGCAGGCCCGUCCUCGGACCGCUGGCUUCGGCUAGUCCGUGCCUGCCAGAGGACCCCAAACUCAUAUUAUCUAUGUCGUCUGAGUACUAUAUAAUAGUUA
rnacentral:misc_RNA from 1 species